rnacentral:rRNA from 1 species
CAGCCCCUCGAGUGGUGGGGAUGAUUAUUUGGCCUAAAGCGUCCGUAGCCGGCCGAGCAAGUCUUCCGUUAAAUCCAGCGUCUCAAGCGUUGGACUGCGGGAGAUACUACACGGCUAGAGAGUGGGAGAGGUCAGCGGUAUUCUGGGGGUAGGGGCGAAAUCCUUUGAUCCCCGGAGGACCACCAGUGGCGAAGGCUGCUGACUAGAACACGUCUGACGGUCAGGGACGAAAGCUGGGGUAGCGAACCGGAUUAGAUACCCGAGUAGUCC